CAAGUCGAGCGAGAGAUCCUUCGGGAUGAUCCUAGCGGCGGACGGGUGAGUAACACUAGGGGCAACCUGCCUCAUAGAGAGGAAUAGCCUUCCAAAGGGAGAUUAAUACCUCAUAACAUUGCAGUUUCGCAUGGAACAGCAAUUAAAGGAGCAAUCCGCUAUGAGAUGGGCCCGCGGCGCAUUAGCUAGUUGGUGAGGUAACGGCUCACCAAGGCGACGAUGCGUAGCCGACCUGAGAGGGUGAUCGGCCACAUUGGGACUGAGACACGGCCCAGACUCCUACGGGAGGCAGCAGUGGGGAAUAUUGCACAAUGGGGGAAACCCUGAUGCCAGCAACGCCGCGUGAGUGAUGACGGCCUUCGGGUUGUAAAGCUCUGUCUUCAGGGACGAUAAUGACGGUACCUGAGGAGGAAGCCACGGCUAACUACGUGCCAGCCGCCGC
rnacentral:rRNA from 1 species